GGUUCAGACUCAACUUCCAGUCGACUGUCAGAGAAGGAGGAGCAGCCUAACUGAAGAUGAGUGAUGUGGGUGAAGAGGAGGACAGAGCAGAGUCUGUGGACAGGGAAGAGACGCCAGCUGCUCCUGCAGAGUCCAGAGAGAAGAAGAGCAGUGAUGUCUGUGAGGAGCAGCAGGACCAGGGUUCUUCAUCAGGAC